AAUGAACGUUGGCGGCAUGGAUUAGGCAUGCAAGUCGAGCGAGAAGUGUAGCAAUACACGGAAAGCGGCGGAAGGGAGAGUAAUACGUGGGAAUCUGCCCUUAGACCUGGGAUAGCAGCGGGAAACUGCUGGUAAUACCAGAUAAUGUCUAUGGACCAAAGGUGUGAUUCCGUCUAGGGAUGAGCCUACGUCCUAUUAGCUAGUUGGUAGGGUAAUGGCCUACCAAGGCGAUGAUGGGUAGCGGGUGUGAGAGCAUGACCCGCCUCACUGGGACUGAGACACUGCCCAGACACAUACGGGUGGCUGCAGUCGAGAAUCUUCGGCAAUGGGCGCAAGCCUGACCGAGCGAUGCCGCGUGCGGGGUGAAGGCCUUCGGGUUGUAAACCGCUGUCGAGGGGGAGCAACUUCCAUAGAGUUAUCUUUAUGGAUUGAGUGAUCCCUGGAGGAAGGACGGGCUAAGUUCGUGCCAGCAGCCGCAGUAAGAC
rnacentral:rRNA from 1 species